UGAAUAUCGUCUAAUAAAUCUCAUAAGGUCCGCAGAGAACGAAGUUAUGGUAAAAAUAAAGAAAAAGGACAGUACGUGGAAAAGAGUAUACGUAUGUUUAACCCAAGCUGAAAGUCAGGAGAAAACACCAACUUCAACAAUGCAUUGUUAAACAAAUAACCAACUUAUAUAUGUUGCGUAAUGGGAUCACGAAACUUAACCCGUUCGUCAUAUAUAAGCGGUCUUAUCGAUACCGCUUAUCAUCAAACAAGAUUGGAAGGGAUAUGAUUAUCUAGGAUGAUGUCCAGUGAUGCAGUGACUUCACUGUGUACAUGGCCUGGACGAUUGGAGUGUGUAUGCAAGAGAGUUCGCAAUAACGCAUCUGUAGGUCUGUUGUAGUUCAAUCAGCUUUUCUUUUUUGGUUUGUUUUUUUCUUUUAUAGCUUUUUUUUUUAUCUGAUUUUAUGAAAAUAAAUCAUCUCUCUGCUCUGAAUUCCAACA